rnacentral:rRNA from 1 species
UAGGGAAUUUUCCGCAAUGGGCGAAAGCCUGACGGAGCAAUCUCGCGUGAGGGAUGACGGCCUAUGGGUUGUAAACCUCUUUUUUCAGGGAGGAAUAAAUGACGUGUACCUGAAGAAUAAGCAUCGGCUAACU